rnacentral:lncRNA from 1 species
CUCGAAUUAUCAAAAGAGAGCAAACUAAAAAGUUCUUGGAAAUAUAUUGGGUAAGAAAAACUUCAAUUCAUGUGCUUGCAGACGUACAUUACGUAUAAAGGAUUUUGCAACUUGGCAAUUUCUGCGUUAACUGCGUCAAUACCCAUAUGCUUUUUAGGCAGUGUCAAACAUUGGGUUAAUCUUUUUAUUAGUUUUCAGGCAUUCCUUCUGCAUGCGUAUGUGUAAAUGCGUAUCUGUCUCUCCGUCUUCUGCCAAAACCCAUAAAUUUUGGUAUGUGUAAAUGCGGGUAAAAACUAAAUUAUUUUCGUGCCACCUAAUGUUGAUGGCUGAGAGACGAUUCUAGAGGAGGCGCACAAUGCGCAAUUCCAUCCAUUCAGGUGCGUGUAUCGUAACCUGAGACAAUAUUAUAACGGGUGGCGGCGGAAGGACAUAAUUCUCUUUCUCUUAUUCUAUAUAAGAGAGAGUAAAGCAGGUCUCCGUCAACAUGUCUGCUUAUGCUCAGUGGAUAUCUUGGUAAUUUUAUAUCACAUUAUCUCUUACUCUAUAAGACAGUUAUCUCUACGCUGGAUUUCAAAUCACGAAAAAAUCGGAAAUAUUCAGCUUCCAAGUACGCAGCCUUUUGGAUUUCUGUUUCAUUCUUAAAAAUCAGGUUUACCAAAUUGCUCCUGUUCGGAUCUGCUGACUCACGGUUCUGAGAGAAGGCCAUCUGUUGUUUCCGCUUUUGGGUAAACGGUGGGCAAUAUCAAAUUUUACUUUUGUUCCCCGUACAAUUUUCAAUCAGUUUAUACUCUGUUUAGUUUCGUUAUGUUCUUCGGCUUUCUUGCUGCUACUAAUUUGUGUUUGAUCACUUCCGGGUGAGAUCAUCUUAUACUAUAUUAUUUCCAUUGUCUCCGUGCUCUUCUCUUUCUAUGCGCGAUGCUUCUGUGUUUUUGGUUUAGUUUCUGCCUGCAGGUGUUUGAGAAAAUUAUUCAAUGAAUUAGGUUUCUCGAUAUGUAGCGGGGUGUAAUCAAAUUUGAGGCAAAACAUUUAGACAUUCCUCAAAUUUUGAACUAAAAUUAGCAAGAAAUUACGUUGAACUACUAUGAAUUAAAGUGUUGGAGGAGAAAAAAUAAAGAUAAAAACUAUGAAGAAAGACUAAAUUGCAGAAGGAAAAUGGUAAAAUAAUUUGUAGGAACCUCUGAUUAAG